rnacentral:rRNA from 1 species
UACAGAGGGUGCAAGCGUUGUUCGGAAUUAUUGGGCGCAAAGCGCGUGUAGGCGGCUUUGCAAGUCGGGUGUGAAAUCCCUCGGCUCAACCGAGGAAGUGCGCCCGAAACUGCAGAGCUUGAGUACCGGAGAGGAUGGCGGAAUUCCCGAAGUAGAGGUGAAAUUCGUAGAUAUCGGGAGGAACACCGGUGGCGAAGGCGGCCAUCUGGACAGAUACUGACGCUGAGACGCGAAAGCGUGGGGAGCAAACAGG